rnacentral:rRNA from 1 species
UCAGACGAUGCGUCAUGCAUAUCAAUAAGCGGAGGAAAAGAAACUAACAAGGAUUCCCCUAGUAACGGCGAGUGAAGCGGGAAGAGCUCAAAUUUGAAAUCUUAAAGGGUUUCCCUUUACGAAUUGUAGUUUAAAGAAGUGUUUUCUGUUGAGGUUUUGGUAAAAGUUCUUUGGAAUAGGACAUCAUAGAGGGUGAGAAUCCCGUAUUUGACCUUUACUUUCAACUUUGUGAUACACUUUCAAAGAGUCGGAUUGUUUGGGAAUGCAGUCCAAAAUGGGUGGUAAAUUUCAUCUAAAGCUAAAUAUUGGCGAGAGACCGAUAGCGAACAAGUACCGUGAGGGAAAGAUGAAAAGAACUCUGAAAGGAGAGUUAAACAGUACGUGAAAUUGUCAAAAGGGAAGCGUUUGACACCAGUGUUGUUUUUCUGAAAAUCAAUUAAAGAACUGUUUAUGCUAAGUUGUUUAGACUUUAUCAGCUAUCUGUUUAGUUUUGAGCUUUUCUUUAAUGCACUUUUCAGUUAACAAGUCAACAUCAAUUUCUUUUGCUGUAAAAAAGCUUGAGGAAGGUGGCUUGAGAUUCGUCUUAAGUGUUUAUAGCCUCUUGCCUAUGCAGUCGGAGAGAUUGAGGUCUGCAGCGUAGAUCCUUCGGGGCUAAAUGCAUUUGUGCUAAGUUAUAGCAUUUUAUAGACAACUUGUUAACUAUGAUUUGUCUUGUAGCUUACUCGCUUAUGUUAUUUUACCUACGCUUAGGAUGUUGACACACGCGCGUGCUCG